UAUGUGUUCAUUGCAUGUUGCAGUGUAUUUAAGUAAACUAUGAUAGUUGGCACUAACUAUGCCGACAAGCGGCGGUCGCUCGGUCGGUAUAGUUCGCUUGCAGACUACAGGCCACGGAGUUUGAGUUUGAUGAUGACUAUGAUGGCGGGAAGCGUUGUGUGAAAACAUGGGAAAAAACAGUAAUACAAGAAUUAUUGGAAAAAAUGUAUGAUUGGUGCCCUGCAAGACAGAACAUGUUCCAAAGUACAUAUUUGAAAAGACAAAAACAUCAUUGAGGUACCCUGGCUGGAUAAAGUCACCUGAACUGCAACAGUUGACUGCGUCUGAACCGUUGUCUCUUGAGGAAGAGUAUGAAAUGCAGAGCAGUUGGUUGAUGGAUGAAGACAAAUGCACCUUCAUCAUUCUAGAAAAGUCUGCAUUUGAGAACACAGGAGAUGAAAUUGGUAAGUUAUAUCUUACCAUAUGUAUCACAGAUUUGUUCAUACUGUCACGCAUAUGGAGUGACUAUAGAUGGUGUUUGGAUUGGUAAUUAAAGUUACUGUACACUUUUAACAUACAACUCAUGACUACACUUUACAAAUCAUUGUCUCACACACAGACUGGUGUUCUCAGUAGUGUUAGAGUCUCCAAUAGCUGUUGCUUGGUAGCGGCUUCCAAUGGCGGAUAUUCUGCUUCCUCUGGGUUCCCAAACUGACCCUGACCUCAGCUACCAGGUUCUCACAGAAACAGCUCACAAGGACGGAACCACAGCAGUACUCUAACUCACUCACUCAUUCACAACAAACUCCUCGCUCAUCCUGCUUAUAACAUCUUGGCACGGACCACAGAAAAAACUGCUCCUCUGUUGCAUUGCCCCUGUUGCCAUGGAAUUGUUGUGUUUGUGUCUGUUAGCAGAAAUCUUUGUGAUACUCGAAUAGAUUAUAAACCGUUCAUUUUGUAACGCUAGUUUGUUUUCAUUUUACAUUGCUUAUUUACUUUCUCAGUGACCUAUUUUCUUGAUGAUAAUCAAUACGACAAAACAUUUAGCUUAGCGAGAUGUUCAGGUGCUGCAAGGACGGACCUUUUUAUAUACUAGAGUCAUGAGCUCAAGGCAAGAUGUCCU